GAUGAACGCUGGCGGCGUGCCUAAUACAUGCAAGUCGAGCGAACAGACGAGGUUCUUGCUCCUCUGACGUUAGCGGCGGACGGGUGAGUAACACGUGGAUAACCUACCUAUAAGACUGGGAUAACUUCGGGAAACCGGAGCUAAGACCGGAUAAUAUAUUGAACCGCAUGGUGCAAUAGUGAAAGACGGGUUUGCUGUCACUUAUAGAUGGAUCCGCGCCGCAUUAGCUAGUUGGUAAGGUAACGGCUUACCAAGGCAACGAUGCGUAGCCGACCUGAGAGGGUGAUCGGCCACACUGGAACUGAGACACGGCCCAGACUCCUACGGGAGGCAGCAGUAGGGAAUCUUCCGCAAUGGGCGAAAGCCUGCCGGAGCAACGCCGCGUGAGUGAUGAAGGUCUUCGGAUCGUAAAACUCUGUUAUUAGGGAAGAACAAAUGUGUAAGUAACUAUGCACGUCUUGACGGUACCUAAUCAGAAAGCCACGGCUAACUACGUG
rnacentral:rRNA from 1 species